rnacentral:rRNA from 1 species
GAUGAACGCUGGCGGCGUGCUUAACACAUGCAAGUCGAACGAAGCACUUUAUUUGAUUUCCUUCGGGACUGAUUAUUUUGUGACUGAGUGGCGGACGGGUGAGUAACGCGUGGGUAACCUGCCUUGUACAGGGGGAUAACAGUUGGAAACGGCUGCUAAUACCGCAUAAGCGCACGUCAUCGCAUGAUGCAGUGUGAAAACCUCCGGUGGUAUAAGAUGGACCCGCGUUGGCUUGGCUAGUGGGUGAGGGUACGGCCCACCAAGGCGAGGACACAUAGCCGACAUGAGAGGCAGACCGGACACACUUGGAAUGAGACACGGCCCGAAAUCCUACGGGAGGCAGCAGUGGGGAAUAUUGCACAAUCGCGGAAAGCAUGAUGCAGCGACGACGGGUGAGCCAAGAAGUAUUUCGGUAUGUAAAGCUCUAUUAGCAGGGAAGAUAAUGACGGUACCUGACCAAGAAGCACCGGCUAACUACGUG